CCUUGCAGGCCUUUGUUCUUAAGACAUUUGAUUUUCUGUAGCAAAAGCAUCAAGGAGAAGAAAGGUGCUUCCUGGCUUUUUCCUUUGAGUUCCCAGACUGCUGGGGAAGAUGGGAAGAAGAGAGGGACCUGGGGAGGAGCUGUGAGGUGAGAAAAGAAGAGGACGUUUACAAGGGAGAUAUUCUUUAUUUCCCAGUGAUUCACCACCUAAAAAAACUGCAAAAUAGGUAUAAAACCCAUUUUUUGCAUCUGUGACGCAUUGGCAAUCACCAUUUCAUGGAUUUUCAGGGGUCUUCCAGAGCCAGGGAGAGAAUGGAAAGCUCCUUCAACUCUGUGUAAUGUGCUUUGAGCAAUGUGUGAGCUGCAGAGCCUCACCUGUGCACCAGAUUUGUGUCUCCUCCUUGGUCCAGCACAGCUGAGGAGCUCAGGGAGCGAGAGAGAUGUGUUCUGCUCACCUGUGCAAAAACACAGUGCGGGAGAGGCCAGA